rnacentral:rRNA from 1 species
UGUGCCUUCGGGAACCGUGAGACAGGUGCUGCAUGGCUGUCGUCAGCUCGUGUUGUGAAAUGUUGGUUAAGUCCCGCAACGAGCGCAACCCUUAUCCUUUGUUGCCAGCGGUCCGGCCGGGAAACUCAAAGGAGACUGCCAGUGAUAAACUGGAGGAAGGUGGGGAUGACGUCAAGUCAUCAUGGCCCUUACGACCAGGGCUACACACGUGCUACAAUGGCGCAUACAAAGAGAAGCGACCUCGCGAGAGCAAGCGGACCUCAUAAAGUGCGUCGUAGUCCGGAUUGGAGUCUGCAACUCGACUCCAUGAAGUCGGAAUCGCUAGUAAUCGUGGAUCAGAAUGCCACGGUGAAUACGUUCCCGGGCCUU